rnacentral:piRNA from 1 species
UGGGAGGAAAAUGAUAGAAAA